AAAUUUUAAAUGCACAAGUAAAAAAAUUUAACAUUUUUUAAUACCUAAAUUAACACUAAGUAAAAAUACUUUUACCUAAUAAUUAACGUGGAAGCUAUUAGCUGAAAGGGUAGUUUUGUCAAUUCAAAAACUCCAGCGAAAAUAUUGUACUGACUAAAAUUUCUUUUCAACUCGCUUGUCAAGAAAAAACGCUUAGGUGUGACAAAUAAUUUAAAUUUAAAAUUUAAAGUAAGAAGCAAAAAGAAAACCAUAAAAUAAAAUAAAAAAAGGUUUUAAAAAGAAACUCCCUCCUUUUUUUUUAAACGUUUUAACUAUUUGUGUGAUUAUUAUGCCUAGGAGGGAGUUCGAAAAAGCAAAGCCAAAAGAGCUGUUUCUUUGAAAUUCAUCUUCUCUUCUUCAUAUGUUCGUUGUGCGAUGAACCAAACCAAACGUGGGCUUGUGAGGCUGAUACUCUUCCGUGAACACAUUUGUUUUCUUUUUUGUUCUUCUCUCAAUCUUUCUGAAUUCUGAAUCGCUUAAUGCUCAACGAUUCUUCUGGCAUUAUCUCCCUACUGCAAGAUCUUCAUCUCACACAGUCUUCUUCCAAAGUUCUCUCAGGUUAGUGGAUUCGCUUCACGAACAUCUGAACGAGUUGGUAAUUUCGUGAGUGUUUUUGUUUUCCCCGUUCUUUUUCUCUGUUUCUAUUUUCAUCGUUUUUUUUCUCAUUUUUUGUUUCGCGGCACGUAAUACGGGGAUAACAGAAGAAAAUGAGGAUUGUUGUUUGAAAUUUUUUGUUGUUGUCAUCUUGAAUUUUAGUUUCUAAGUGAGGCAUUUCGAGUUAGUUGAUAUUCAUCUUUUGAUUUUUAGGUUUUCAGUGUUUAUGAUUUUCUUUUUUAUACUUUGUCAGAUAUUUAUGUUUGAACUGAAAGUGUUCAAGAUAAGAUCUAUUUGUGUGUGGAUGUUGUAGUAAUUUAAAAAAGAAAAAAGAAAAAGAAAGAUUGAAGGUGGAAUUUUCAACCUUGAGGGAAGGUGAUUAAGCUUGGGUCCAUUGAAUUAGCCGAGUGGGAGUGUGGAUGUGUUAGGUUAAUGAUUUUGAAUUUUACAGCUUGAAAUGCGGUUGAACGUGAUGAUUCGAUGAGGACUUUAAAGCAUGGAGCACUGGACUAGAGGAGCGGAGAGUAGAGUGUCUAUGUGGAGCUAGGGUUAUCCUGAUAAAGUCAUUCAUUGGGGGCCUUGUUUAAAGUUUGAAAGGCUCAUUUGUAUGGAAAGUUAGCUUUUUUGUUUUUUAAAAAAAUGUUAUGAGUUUUUGUUUUUUUCGCAAUUUGCAAUUGGCGAUGGUAACCUUUUUUGUUAAUGGCAAUUCGCAAUCAAGUGUCCUGCCUGCCUUCCAGUCCAUCAAGUCAUUACCCUCCGAGUUCAAGUUUGCCAACAAUCCAAACCCUCUGGUUGUGGAAAAACAUGGAGAUGUCAAAUGUAGACACACCAAUCCAAUUUGAUCAAAUGGUUUUGAGAAUGGUGCACUAGUAGGGGAGGUUUGUAUGGGAGUUCGAGUAAAUUUACAGAUCAAGACAUGACCAUAUCCGGUUGUUCUUCUUGUUCUUGAUGUUCAUGCAUGCAUAGCAAAAGAUCCUCGGCAUUUUCGACGACUUGUUGUUUUCCUGAUGCAAAAUUUCCUGGUAGACAAUUCCCUUUUGGAGAAAGUGGUGCUUUGAUGAUUCACGGGCUUUGUGUGCUUUUGAAGGCUGAGAGAGUCUACCGUGAACUUUACACUAUACUAGAAGGGGAGUCUGACCUGGAAUUUGUUUCAAUUAUGGUUCACGUGGGAUAUGAACAUUUGGAUAACCUUAUAAAAUCUGCUUUUGGAUGUAUACUUGACCUCAGCAUCCAUUUUGUAGUUUAAUAUUGUACUCAAAGUCUCCCGAGUCAAAUUUUUUGCUAUAGUUGGGAAAUUAAUA